CCCUUAGAUGUUCUGGGCCGCACGCGCGCUACACUGAUGCAUUCAACGAGCCUAGCCUUGACCGAGAGGUCCGGGUAAUCUUUGAAACUGCAUCGUGAUGGGGCUAGAUUAUUGCAAUUAUUAAUCUUCAACGAGGAAUGCCUAGUAAGCGUGAUUCAUCAAAUCGCGUUGAUUACGUCCCUGCCCUUUGUACACACCGCCCGUCGCUACUACCGAUUGAAUGGCUUAGUGAGGCCUCCGGAUUGGCUUCGGGGAGCCGGCAACGGCACCUCGUGGCUGAGAAGUUGGUCAAACUUGGUCAUUUAGAGGAAGUAAAAGUCGUAACA
rnacentral:rRNA from 1 species